UGCUCUAUUUCUAUACACACAGGUGUACACACACACACAAUCACCUCAUUUCUGACUCAAAGUUGGGCAAGUUUCAUAAAUGAGCUUCUGCGACAGUGAAAUCACACUGCUUCAUCAUGGUAACAAUUGGAGCCCCUCAGUUCUAUGUUUUAUCACUGUUUAUACUUUUGAGCUGAAUCUCACAGAAAACCCUGGUGAUUUGGAAAAAAUGUUGGGUUGUGGGUUGUGUGUAGUACACCUGUGUGUACAGGUUGUGUGUUACAGUAGGGUGUACAGGUUGUGUGUUACAGUAGGGUGUACAGGUUGUGUGUUACAGUAGGGUGUACAGGUUGUGUGUUACAGUAGGGUGUACAGGUUGUGUGUUACAGUAGGGUGUACAGGUUGUGUGUUACAGUAGGGUGUACAGGUUGUGUGUUACAGUAGGGUGUACAGGUUGUGUGUUACAGUAGGGUGUACAGGUUGUGUGUUACAGUAGGGUGUACAGGUUGUGUGUUACAGUAGGGUGUACAGGUUGUGUGUUACAGUAGGGUGUACAGGUUGUGUGUUACAGUAGGGUAUACAGGUUGUGUGUUACAGUAGGGUGUACAGGUUGUGUGUUACAGUAGGGUGGAGUAGGAAUGCAGUUAGUCACUGGGGGUGAAGAGUAAAGUGACAGUCAUGGUCUCGCCCAUCUCUCCACCCCUUUUUACAGCACAAAGCAGAGAAAUGAAAUAAUGUUUUUAGGCCUGUAAUUCAGGAUUAUGUGCUGCUCAUUUCGACAGCCUUCUGUUUGCAUAGCUGAAGAAACGGCUCUGCAGUGACAAUUCCUAUUGUGUGAUAGACAUUCCUUUUAUUCAAGCACCUGUCUUAAUACUGUAGUGUUUGUGCUCCUCUUUACCACGGGUACACUACAGAGACCCAUGCACCAUGUAAAUAGCCUGUGCUACAAAGCAGAUUCCAUUCAGAGACAAGGCUGCCCUCCCCUCCCCCAAUGAGCCCUCCCUGUCCUCCCCUCCCCCAAUGUGCCCUCCCAGUCCUGUCCUCCCCCAAUGAGCCCUCCCAGUCCUGUCCUCCCCCAAUGAGCCCUCCCUGUCCUGUCCUCCCCCAAUGAGCCCUCCCAGUCCUGUCCUCCCCCAAUGAGCCCUCCCAGUCCUGUCCUCCCCCAAUGAGCCCUCCCUGUCCUGUCCUCCCCCAAUGAGCCCUCCCAGUCCUGUCCUCCCCCAAUGAGCCCUCCCUGUCCUCCCCUCCCCCAAUGAGC